CCCAGUGGAGGGGCUGGCACGGGCCCCCCAACAGCGGGGAACCCACCCGCCAAGCGGCGAGCACAGAGGGGGGCGCCCAGACACCCGCAGGCUCGGGGCGGGGCUCGGAAGGGCCGCAGGGGGCGGAAGCCCCAGCCCGCGCUGUGCCAGUGAGCCGAACCCAGGGCACACGGAGCUUCUCGGAUUUCUGCACCAACCCGGUGUUCAGGGCGAAGGGUCUCCAGGAGAUCCCCGAGACCCCACGAGGGCGGGGAGGGCGCUGACAGUGCCAGGCAAGGGGGCGAAGUGGACCUCCCAGGCUCUAAUCGGAUCAGACCUAAUCCGUCUGCAGCCAAAGCCCCAGACCUCGCACAGCCAGGCCCGCCAGAAGCAUCCUGGGGGCAGGGGGGUAUAACACUGCCGUCCAGACUCAUGUCCUGGAUCAGCCAGAAAGGGACAUCUAGCAUGACCUACUCUCCAGCGCUCAAGAGUAGACACACCUGGUUCUGGGCUACAAGGUAGUCAGCUCUGUGACGUUUUUGGUGAUGAGCUGCUGGGAAUGAUCCUUCUUACACCAUUACCAGGAAGAUGCAAAGAGCCAAAAGGCAGGGGUCUGAGUUCUUUGUGCUGACCACCACCUCCUCACUACCAGAAGCUCGGCAUUCUCAAUUUGCACAAGUGCAAUCAUCUUAGAAAAAGAGAUUACAACUUGGACGUGGUCAUCCUGUUUGGAAGUGGGGCUGCCAUCAAAUUGGAAAGGCCCUGAACUUCAUUACCUCAAAGCCACAUCAGUUGGGAGAAAGGCACACUGCACAUGCCAACACAGCCUCUGAUGUGGAGCAGCCAGGCUUGCCUGUAGAGUCCUGCCACCUCAGCAGGCAACCUAAGCGCUGCUAGAGAACCCCACAGCUCCUGCAGGGUAACUGGAACAAGGAAUGCUGGUCAACUUGGAUGGCCAUGGGAGAGCCAUCACUGUCAGUGACAACCAACCAAAGAGAUCAGGAGCUCCGCCCACUUCCAAAGCCCUUGCGGACUGCCCGACAGUGGUGUCACUGUACUGUAUUAGGAAUGGUGAUUCUGCUGAGACCCACAAAGGCUGUACCCUGAGUAUGUGGUGGUAUCAGGUGGCUGCCAGCAACCAGGCAUCUGGCUGAUCCACAUGGGUUUGUAAGGGCCUGGAAAGGCCUCUGGAGGCAGAAAGGAGUAAAGAUGGCUCCAGUUCUGCAGGGCAAGCCAGAAGCAAGAUGGGGGGCCACACAAGGUUCUCUGCCGCUGGUGUCCCCUCACAGCCGGAGUAGGGAAGGGUGGCCUGAGAGAAGAGGUAGUUACGAUUAAUUCAGAAAACUUUGUUUUGGCUGAUUCUUUGGACUCUCUCUUCUUCUACCCUUUUAGUCAUCCUCUGGAAAUUGAAGGUCAACCCUCAGUUUAACCAAACCUUGAAGGACAGAAAUCAUGAAGAACAUUUAAUUCACAGACUAUGCACAUUAUCCCCCAAGAAACGACUAUACCGUUCCUUUUUGCUUCGUGGACACCUGGCACUACAGAACCUCUUGACGGUCUGGUAUUCCCCAGACCAUAUACGUUAUCCCCCAUUUCUACCUACAAAAACUUAAGUGACCUGGAGUGCAGGGGUCUUGCCUUACCUUAUUCAUAAUUAUGACUGUAUGCCGUUCUAGUGCCUGCUACACAACAGGCUCUCAAAUGUUUAUGAGACUAGUGGGCUCACAGAGUGACUGUCAGAAACUGCAGAGAGCUUGCUCUAUCAUACAACUUUCUUAACCAGGAAUCCUCAAAGGGUAGUCCCAAGACCCAUCAGAGUUCCCUGAGAGUCUGUUAAAAAGGCAGAAUUUCAGAAUGGCCCCCAGACAGACCUGCUGAAUCAGAAGCUUUGAGGAUGGGGCCCAGAAGCUUGUAUGUUAACAAAGUUGUAGAUGUUCCUGAUCUGCACCAAAGUUGGAAAAACUGCUGUUCUUAAUUGCAUUUGGGGGCGGGAGGCGGUUAUUCCACAGAAAGGAUUCGAGGAACCUGUGGAAACUUAGUUAACUGUACAAGUCUUAGUGUGUUCUAAAAAGAAUUCACACCCAGGUUGAUAGACCAGUCUUUCGUCUGAAUCAAGGAUUAACAUCACUCAUCACCCCGAGAGGAGUGGACGAGUCCUGUGAGACCCAGCUGGUUCCAGCACUCUUCCACUGGAGGGAAGGGUCGAAUAGGUCAGAAAGCACAGCACCAUCAGCUAACAUACUUUCACGAAGGACCAAGUGUCCACUUCCUGGGAGACAAAGAAUCUGCUUCUUUUGCUUCGCUGGGUUCACAAGCAUCUUGAAAGCACUGUUUCUGUUUUUUGUGCAGGGCCUGCACCUGUGGGUGCUCAAGGGCCGGCCAUGAGAAUGUGCCAGAGUUCACAGAAUCAUCAGCCCUCAGUGCCUGCCUCUGACUUGGGGAUGUCUAAACUGUGACCUGACCAACAUUCUCUUGUGCACUAGCAGAACUACCACUCUGCUGGAGGUGCCAGGAUGCUGGCCAUCUUUCCUGAAGAAUAUCCACUCAUGUCUCUUCAGUUUGACCACGGAAAUCAACAAUGCGCCAGGAACACUCAACCAGACAUUCCUUAAGCCUCAUGAAGGUGAGAAGGUGGCCAGUCAGUCAGGAAACUCAAGCCACUGAACUUUAACUAAUGACCAAGACGAGGUGAGGCUGAAUGUUGAGAUUCCUCCCAGGACACAUGAAGAAACUGAUACGAACGCAGAGAAUGGGACCAGAAUCCAGAAAUGAUGUUCCAUUUAUUCACUGAAAAAGAGGGAGAUUAGGCCUUCUUGAUCAAUUUCUUCCAGUCUCCCCAAACUCCCUCCCUUCACUUUUCCAAAAUAACACACUGAGAAACAUUUUUGUACAAAAACCACGUAUUAUUCCCCCCCUCACAAAAUCGGGUGGCUGUAUUACAGGAACAAAACCAGAUCAAAGACAUAAAAAGAAAAAGUCACCACUUAUACUGAAACACAACAGUGUUAAGAAUUCAGGUAUUCUGUAGAAUUAUUACCAGCAUAGUUAAAAUAUUUCCACCUGGAUCUUUUAAAUUUGAAAGUGAUCACAUUAAAGACCUGAGGUUGCAAGAGACCACAGUAUGAACCAGAACUCCAUCUUCCUUUAAAGACCUCAGUGGAAAAGGUAUUUGGAAUGAGUUUCCUUUGGGAAAGACUGGCGGGAAAAUUCAGAAAACCCUGGCCAUUGUCGAAAGGCACUGGGGUCUUUCUGGAGUCGAAAGCAAUGGAAUUAAACUCCAGUAGGAACAAGCUCAUUUCCACUCCAACAGUCUGGAAUAAACUCACAGAAGGAACAAGGUCUCCUUGGUUCCAGUACUCUGAUGGUGACCAGGGCCACCUGGUUAGAGGAAACUGCCACUUGAGAAUGUGAAGGGGCCAGGUGCUUCGGAAACCAAGCUCAACCCAAAACACCGUUUCCCCACCCAUGGAAGGAUAGAGGAGAGGGAAGACAGACAAGAAGAGAAAACCAAGAACUCUCAAGUCACUCAUCAGGAGGGGUAGAAAUGGGCUCAUAUUAAGGCAUUUUUGUGGCUCUUCCUCUGGAAUGGCAUUCCACUCUCCCAGCCCGAGCACCCCACCCUCAAACCAUGAUGCUUUGAUUGCCAAGUGAGUUCCCUGGUACCCACAGCAUCUCCUUGACAACCAACCAUGUGAUAGAUGGAAUGUGAGAUCUCAGACGGGGAAGGG
ensembl:lncRNA